rnacentral:rRNA from 1 species
GAUGAACGCUGGCGGCGUGCCUAAUACAUGCAAGUCGGGCGAACGGACGAGAAGCUUGCUUUUCUGAUGUUAGCGGCGGACGGGUGAGUAACACGUGGAUAACCUACCUAUAAGACUGGGAUAACUUCGGGAAACCGGAGCUAAUACCGGAUAAUAUUUUGAACCGCAUGGUUCAAAAGUGAAAGACGGUCUUGCUGUCACUUAUAGAUGGGUCCGCGCUGCAUUAGCUAGUUGGUAAGGUAACGGCUUACCAAGGCAACGAUGCAUAGCCGACCUGAGAGGGUGAUCGGCCACACUGGAACUGAGACACGGUCCAGACUCCUACGGGAGGCAGCAGUAGGGAAUCUUCCGCAAUGGGCGAAAGCCUGACGGAGCAACGCCGCGUGAGUGAUGAAGGUCUUCGGAUCGUAAAACUCUGUUAUUAGGGAAGAACAUAUGUGUAAGUAACUGUGCACAUCUUGACGGUACCUAAUCAGAAAGCCACGGCUAACUACGUG